GACGAACGCUGGCGGCGUGCUUCAUACAUGCAAGUCGAACGAGAAGUCACCUUCGGGUGAUGGAAAGUGGCGGACGGGUGAGUAAAAUGUAGGAAAUCUGCCCUUAAGAGGGGGACAACAGAGGGAAACUUCUGCUAAUACCCCAUAUGAGCGUAGCUGAAAUGCUAUUCUUGAAAACUCCGGUGCUUAAGGAUGAGCCUGCAUCUGAUUAGCUAGUUGGUAAGGUAAUGGCUUACCAAGGCGACGAUCAGUAGCCGGCUUGAGAGAGUGAACGGCCACAUUGGAACUGAGACACGGUCCAAACUCCUACGGGAGGCAGCAGUGGGGGAAUAUUGCACAAUGGGGGAAACCCUGAUGCAGCAACGCCGCGUGAAGGAUGAAGGCCUUUGGGUCGUAAACUUCUGUCCUUGAGGAAGAUAAUGACGGUACUCUUGGAGGAAGCCCCGGCUAACUACGUG
rnacentral:rRNA from 1 species